CCCCGCAGAUCGUAUCACCACCCUUCUUCACACGCACCUCAUGUCCUUCCUCGGCGGGGCGACCCGCCGGCGGAACGUUCGCAAACCCUUUUCGUGCAUCCGAGCAGUAAUCGUUCCGAUGAAAAAUACAAUCGUUACAAUCUUCAACAAUGGAUCUCUUGGCUCUGGCAUCGAUGAAGAACGCAGCGAAAUGCGAUAAGUAGUGUGAAUUGCAGAAUCCAGUGAAUCAUCGAAUCUUUGAACGCACAUUGCGCCCCUCGGUAUUCCGUGGGGCAUGCCUGUUCGAGCGUCAUUUCAAGACUCAAGCACUGCUUGGUGUUGGGCGUCUGUCCCGCGCUCCGCGUGGGACUCGCCCCAAAGACAUUGGCAGCCCAGGCCGUCCGACCCGCCCGCAGCACAUUGCGUCCGGCGAGUCGAACGGCGGCCUCGGCGUCCAGCAAGCUCCCCCUUCUCAGUUUUGACCUCGGAUCAGGUAGGGAUACCCGCUGAACUUAAGCAUAUCAAUAG
rnacentral:rRNA from 1 species